rnacentral:rRNA from 1 species
AGUGGCGGACGGGUGAGUAACGCGUAAGAAUCUAACUUCAGGACGGGGACAACAGUUGGAAACGACUGCUAAUACCCGAUGUGCCGCAAGGUGAAACCUAAUUGGCCUGGAGAAGAGCUUGCGUCUGAUUAGCUAGUUGGUGGGGUAAAGGCCUACCAAGGCGACGAUCAGUAGCUGGUCUGAGAGGAUGAGCAGCCACACUGGGACUGAGACACGGCCCAGACUCCUACGGGAGGCAGCAGUGGGGAAUUUUCCGCAAUGGGCGAAAGCCUGACGGAGCAACGCCGCGUGAGGGAGGAAGGUCUUUGGAUUGUAAACCUCUUUUCUCAAGGAAGAAGUUCUGACGGUACUUGAGGAAUCAGCCUCGGCUAACUCCGUGCCAGCAGCCGCGGUAAUACGGGGGAGGCAAGCGUUAUCCGGAAUUAUUGGGCGUAAAGCGUCCGCAGGUGGUCAGCCAAGUCUGCCGUCAAAUCAGGUUGCUUAACGACCUAAAGGCGGUGGAAACUGGCAGACUAGAGAGCAGUAGGGGUAGCAGGAAUUCCCAGUGUAGCGGUGAAAUGCGUAGAGAUUGGGAAGAACAUCGGUGGCGAAAGCGUGCUACUGGGCUGUAUCUGACACUCAGGGACGAAUGCUAGGGGAGCGAAAGGGAUUAGAUACCCCUGUAGUCCUAGCCGUAAACGAUGGAUACUAGGCGUGGCUU